GACGAACGCUGGCGGCGUGCUUAACACAUGCAAGUCGAACGCUGAAGACCUGGCUUUUGUUGGGUUGGAUGAGUGGCGAACGGGUGAGUAACACGUGAGUAACCUGCCCUCUUCUUUGGGAUAACGCCCGGAAACGGGUGCUAAUACUGGAUAUUCACUGAUCUUCGCAUGGGGGUUGGUGGAAGGGUUUGUUCUGGUGGGGGAUGGGCUGGCGGCCUAUCAGCUUGUUGGUGGGGUGAUGGCCUACCAAGGCUUUGACGGGUAGCCGGCCUGAGAGGGUGACCGGUCACAUUGGGACUGAGAUACGGCCCAGACUCCUACGGGAGGCAGCAGUGGGGAAUAUUGCACAAUGGGCGAAAGCCUGAUGCAGCGACGCCGCGUGAGGGAUGGAGGCCUUCGGGUUGUAAACCUCUUUCGCUCAUGGUCAAGCCGCAACUGUGGGUUGUGGUGAGGGUAGUGGGUAAAGAAGCGCCGGCUAACUACGUG
rnacentral:rRNA from 1 species